rnacentral:rRNA from 1 species
UACGGGGGGGGCAAGCGUUAAUCGGAAUUACUGGGCGUAAAGCGUGCGCAGGCGGUUUGUUAAGUCCGCUGUGAAAUCCCCGAGCUCAACUUGGGAAUUGCAGUGGAUACUGGCAAGCUGGAGUAUGGUAGAGGAAGGUGGAAUUCCCGGUGUAGCAGUGAAAUGCGUAGAGAUCGGGAGGAACACCAGUGGCGAAGGCGGCCUUCUGGACCAAUACUGACGCUCAUGCACGAAAGCGUGGGGAGCAAACAGG